UGGCUCAGGACGAACGCUGGCGGCGUGCCUAAUACAUGCAAGUCGAGCGAACAGAAGGGAGCUUGCUCCCGGAUGUUAGCGGCGGACGGGUGAGUAACACGUGGGUAACCUGCCUGUAAGACUGGGAUAACUCCGGGAAACCGGAGCUAAUACCGGAUAGUUCCUUGAACCGCAUGGUUCAAGGAUGAAAGACGGUUUCGGCUGUCACUUACAGAUGGACCCGCGGCGCAUUAGCUAGUUGGUGGGGUAAUGGCUCACCAAGGCGACGAUGCGUAGCCGACCUGAGAGGGUGAUCGGCCACACUGGGACUGAGACACGGCCCAGACUCCUACGGGAGGCAGCAGUAGGGAAUCUUCCGCAAUGGACGAAAGUCUGACGGAGCAACGCCGCGUGAGUGAUGAAGGUUUUCGGAUCGUAAAGCUCUGUUGUUAGGGAAGAACAAGUGCGAGAGUAACUGCUCGCACCUUGACGGUACCUAACCAGAAAGCCACGGCUAACUACGUGCCAGCAGCCGCGGUAAUACGUAGGUGGCAAGCGUUGUCCGGAAUUAUUGGGCGUAAAGGGCUCGCAGGCGGUUUCUUAAGUCUGAUGUGAAAGCCCCCGGCUCAACCGGGGAGGGUCAUUGGAAACUGGGAAACUUGAGUGCAGAAGAGGAGAGUGGAAUUCCACGUGUAGCGGUGAAAUGCGUAGAGAUGUGGAGGAACACCAGUGGCGAAGGCGACUCUCUGGUCUGUAACUGACGCUGAGAGCG
rnacentral:rRNA from 1 species